CGCGCAGGCGGUCUUGCAAGUCGCGUGUGAAAGCCCCCGGCUCAACUGGGGAGGGUCACGCGAUACUGCUCGACUCGAAGGCAGGAGAGGGAAGUGGAAUUCCCGGUGUAGUGGUGAAAUGCGUAGAUAUCGGGAGGAACACCAGUGGCGAAGGCGACUUCCUGGCCUGUUCUUGACGCUGAGGCGCGAAAGCUAGGGUAGCAAACG
rnacentral:rRNA from 1 species